rnacentral:lncRNA from 1 species
UUCAAGAGGUGUUUUAUUUCUCCAGUCUUUCUGCUAUCGUCAGCUCUCUCCUCAAGAGUCUUCUGUCCUUCAAGUUCCAUCAAACUAAAGCCAAGUUUCAGCUACCUGGGAAUAUUUCUGGGUGAAUUGCCUCCAGUGCUUACCAAUGGCCUGGAAGAAGGCAUGUCCACACACGGGAUAAAGCUUUCUGAUUGUACAAAGCAUGCUGCAGGACUGUCAAUACAAAUGAGGAAAAAACUAUGCCCAGAAGGCACUGAAUAGGCUACAAACUGAGGGAAGAGCAGGAAAUUGAGCAAGAGCAAAAAUGAUAGGUUAAAACUUGGGGACAACGUCAAAAGGUCCUCAGUAAUGAAGAAAUUUGAAUUAGCUGAUGGCACCCUUGUUGAGAAAGACUUAAUUUCCUGGAGUGUUCACAUGAGCUUCACAGCCUGAGCACAGGGGAUGCUUCCAUUACAUGGGCUCCGUGUCAAGGGUUACUGAUUGUUCCUCUUAUACUGGAGCUCAUUUUCAAGUUCACCCCAAUGAUGAACUCAUUUUCUUAUACUCUCCUGAAAGUUUAGGAAAAAGAAGUAAUUACACGCAAAGUGCUUUGUGGGUAAUAAUACACUACAAUUUAUUUUUUUAUAAUUUUGCUGGUGUAAAAAUAUGUUAUGACAAGAAUGUUGACAGGAAAUGCAGAUGAAGUUUGUCCUCUUUGACCUAUUUGAGAUGUGAUGAUGGCUCAGAUCACAGGUGCCAUUAGUCAUACAACAGGUACUCCAACCACAUCCUCACCUUCUUUUUUUUUUUUCUCAUUCUACCUGUAGACAGUGAUUGUUUUCUUCAGGUGUGGACUUUGUAAUCAAGGUCUAUCUUUUUCAUUACAAAGUUGCAUUACUGUCCUGAGAUUGUUUUGUAAAUUCUUUAAGGCCAGAGUGAAAGACCCAUAUACUUUUUGGAGACUGUGGAAUGUCUUAGCAGGUACAACACAGGGCAGAAAAGAAAUUCAGAAAUUAAAAUAAAGCUUAAAAAAUGGCGGUUUAGCUGAUGAAAACUCUAUUGUCAGUAAUCAAAAACGCUUUUUCCCUGCAUCUGAGUGAUAUACAAUAUCACCUGAACACUGGAAACAAAAUGAUUUAAAAUGCAAGAAUUAAAAGCAGAUAUAGAGGGCACAAGGCUCAUGUUUAUAUGGUGCAUGACAGUAUUGAUGCCUGUUGAAUGUUGAUGUAACUUUGUCCAUGAAAAUGCAGCAGACCAGGGACCUUUAUUUUUUUAAGGAGGGUACAGAACUAUUGGUUAUGCAACUUAGACCUGGGAAGUGGCAUGGGGUUGGUUUUGGCUUCUUUGACAUGGUUUUGGAUAAGAUUUUGGUAUGUGAGCUUAAACGGAGCUCAGAUUGCAAGCUUCAAGAAUUCAUCAUUUUUAGUGGCUUGCAAAAGUGGUCCAAAAAUGAAAUCCUGUGGGACAACUGAUGUUUGAAGAAACGCCACAAUUAAAAAAGAAAUAAGGAACAUGAAGUAGCUAUUGGAAAAUGUGGUUCAUUUUAUAAUAUGAUUGAAUAAUAGAACAAACACUUACGAACCCACAACUAAGCCUGAAAGUGUGGGACACAGUUUUAGAUAGAAAUAACAUGCAGCCAACUGUUGCAGAAAUAAGCAAAGUGAUGUAAUUGGUGAGGUCCUGAAACGUAUGUGCUGCCAGUUUUUUAAAUGCACCAGGCAAACUUGAAUUUGUAUUUGUUUUGACUCAAUCCCCUGAAAUAAAUUUGGAUCAGAUAUUUAAAAUCCAAUUAUGCUAUCUGCCAUAUUUCGAAUGCUAAAAUAAACCCCUCUAAAGGAAAUAAGGUCUCCUUGCUGCUUUCAUGUGGGUAUUAGUGCUGGGAACAACCAAAGAACACUGUCAUCUUGGUAUCCUCUCGGUUAACACAAUGGUUUCACUUCGCUUUUGACUCCCACUAAGGCAAUGGUAUAUUGGAAAAAAAAACACAGGAACUUCUUUCUCCCCACUAAAAAUAUACAUGAUGCUCAUUAAAACCUAAAUGCAUUGCCAACG